UACGUAGGGUGCAAGCGUUAAUCGGAAUUACUGGGCGUAAAGCGUGCGCAGGCGGUUCUAUAAGACAGAUGUGAAAUCCCCGGGCUCAACCUGGGAACUGCAUUUGUGACUGGCGGGCUAGAGUAUGGCAGAGGGGGGUAGAAUUCCACGUGUAGCAGUGAAAUGCGUAGAGAUGUGGAGGAAUACCGAUGGCGAAGGCAGCCCCCUGGGCCAAUACUGACGCUCAUGCACGAAAGCGUGGGGAGCAAACAGG
rnacentral:rRNA from 1 species